UGGGGAAUUUUGGACAAUGGGGGAAACCCUGAUCCAGCCAUCCCGCGUGUGCGAUGAAGGCCUUCGGGUUGUAAAGCACUUUUGGCAGGAAAGAAACGUCGCGGGUUAAUACCCCGCGAAACUGACGGUACCUGCAGAAUAAGCACCGGCUAACUACGUGCCAGCAGCCGCGGUAAUACGUAGGGUGCAAGCGUUAAUCGGAAUUACUGGGCGUAAAGCGUGCGCAGGCGGUUCGGAAAGAAAGAUGUGAAAUCCCAGAGCUUAACUUUGGAACUGCAUUUUUAACUACCGGGCUAGAGUGUGUCAGAGGGAGGUGGAAUUCCGCGUGUAGCAGUGAAAUGCGUAGAUAUGCGGAGGAACACCGAUGACGAAGGCAGCCUCCUGGGAUAACACUGACGCUCAUGCACGAAAGCGUGGGGAGCAAACAGGAUUAGAUACCCUGGUAGUCCACGCCCUAAACGAUGUCAACUAGCUGUUGGGGCCUUCGGGCCUUGGUAGCGCAGCUAACGCGUGAAGUUGACCGCCCUGGGGAGUACGGUCGCAAGAUUAAAACUCAAAUGAAUUGACGGGGUCGAU
rnacentral:rRNA from 1 species